rnacentral:rRNA from 1 species
AAAGAUGAAAAGAACUUUGAAAAGAGAGUUAAAUAGUACGUGAAAUUGUUGAAAGGGAAACGAUUGAAGUCAGUCAUGCUAGUGAGGAAUCAACCUGAUGGUGUGUGGGUUCUCCCUCGUACUUUCCGGUGCACUUCCUCACCCGGCAGGUUAGCAUCAAUUUCGGUUAUCAUAAAAAAUUUGAGAGAAUGUGGCUUUCCUUCGGGAAAGUGUUAUAGAUCUCGAUCUAUGUGG